UGUAUUUGACAAAGAAGUAUGAGAUAGGUAGUCGUUUUAAGAGCAGCACAUGUGCUUUUAUUUAAUAUUUAUUUUUCAACUUAUCCUGACUUUGAAUCCGGCAAAAUUAAAAAUGAAAAGAGAUUGCAGUUGUUUGGAAAGGGGAAUGAUUCGUUGCAUAAAUAGAAAAAAAAAAUUAAGUUUUGAUAAUAUUAUACUUCGUCUCAUAAUUUGUGUUUAUUUAGGGGGCUAAAUGAGCGUGGCCAUUUUACACUGUUAUAAUCUCCUUUAAAAGAAGAGUUCUGUAUUAAGAUAUAGGAAAUGUUGUUUAUGAAAUAAUAGUAUAUAUAAUAGUAUAUAUACAGUCUUUCAUUAUCUCGAGCUAGAUGAGACAGUUUAAAAACUUCGAGAUAUCGGAGUUUUCAUGAUAUCGAGGUUUAAAUACUUAAAAAAUAAGUGGUUGGGAUUUACAAAUCACUUUGACAUAUCCAUUGUGUCCAAGAUAUCAGUAUUCAAGAUAUCAAAGUUCAACUGUACAUGUAGCAAAAUGAAUUGUAUCAAAAAUAUUUUAAAGCAGAUCUUAAAAAGUAAAAUGUUGACCAACCAGUCUCCUUAAGAACCAGCAAGUGAACUUAAAAAAAACUUCUUUCUUGAAGUUUAUAGAUGGACUGUCCAUUUUUAAUUCCAAGUUACAUGUAGAUUGCAAAUUUGAGUUGUGUUAGAAUAUUGGACAUUUAUAUAACAAUGUAUAUUGUUUUGAUGCUUUUUUUUUGUGUCCACAUUUAAAAACAUUGAUGUAAUAAUUGUUUACUCUCUUUUGCUUUGUACACGUACAAUGUAUAAAUAAAUUGUAUUGCCUUUGUUUUCUAUAAUAAUUUAUUUCAAAAUCUAGACAGCCAAGUAAUAAAUAUUUUAACUCAUAC
rnacentral:sRNA from 1 species